rnacentral:rRNA from 1 species
GAGCGGCGGACGGGUGAGUAACGCGUAGGAAUCUACCUAGUAGAAGGGGAUAGCCCGGGGAAACCCGGAUUAAUACCGUAUACCUCCUUCGGGAGAAAGAAGGCCUCUCUUUGAAGCUUUCGCUAUUAGAUGAGCCUGCGUAAGAUUAGCUUGUUGGUGAGGUAAAGGCUCACCAAGGCGACGAUCUUUAGCUGGUCUGAGAGGACGAUCAGCCACAUUGGGACUGAGACACGGCCCAGACUCCUACGGGAGGCAGCAGUGGGGAAUAUUGGACAAUGGGCGCAAGCCUGAUCCAGCCAUACCGCGUGUGUGAAGAAGGCCUUCGGGUUGUAAAGCACUUUAAGCAGGGAGAAAAAGUUAUAAGUUAAUACCUUAUAACCUUGAUGUUACCUGCAGAAUAAGCACCGGCUAAUUCCGUGCCAGCAGCCGCGGUAAUACGGAAGGUGCAAGCGUUAAUCGGAAUUACUGGGCGUAAAGCGCGCGUAGGUGGUUUGUUAAGUUGGAUGUGAAAGCCCUGGGCUCAACCUAGGAACUGCAUCCAAAACUAACUCACUAGAGUACGAUAGAGGGAGGUAGAAUUCGUAGUGUACCGGUGGAAUGCGUAGAUAUUAUGAAGAAUACCAGUGGCGAAGGCGGCCUCCUGGAUCUGUACUGACACUGAGGUGCGAAAGCGUGGGUAGCGAACAGGAUUAGAUACCCUGGUAGUCC